GACGAACGCUGGCGGCGUGCUUAACACAUGCAAGUCGAGCGGUAAGGCCCUUUCGGGGGUACACGAGCGGCGAACGGGUGAGUAACACGUGGGUGACCUGCCCUCAGCUCUGGGAUAAGCCUGGGAAACCGGGUCUAAUACCGGAUAUGACUCCAUGACGCAUGUUGUGGGGUGGAAAGCCUUGUGCGGCUGAGGAUGGGCCCGCGGCCUAUCAGCUUGUUGGUGGGGGUGAUGGCCUACCAAGGCGACGACGGGUAGCCGGCCUGAGAGGGCGACCGGCCACACUGGGACUGAGACACGGCCCAGACUCCUACGGGAGGGCGAGCAGUGGGGGAAGUCUUGCGCAAUAGGGCGGAAAGACCUGACGCAGCGACGCCGCCGUGAGGGAGUGA
rnacentral:rRNA from 1 species